rnacentral:rRNA from 1 species
GACGAACGCUGGCGGCGUGCCUAAUACAUGCAAGUCGAACGCAGUGGGGACGGGUGAGUAACACGUGGGUAACCUCCCAUCAGAGGGGAUAACACUUGGAAACAGGUUCUAAACCGAUAUUGAUGGCUGGACCCGCUGGGCAUUAGCUAGUUGGGGAGGUAACGGCUCACCAAGGCCACGAUGCAUAGCCGACCUGAGAGGGGGAUCGGCCACAUGGGGAGUGAGACAGGGACACGACGCAUACGGGAGGCAGCAGUAGGGAAUCUUAGGCAAUGGACGAAAGUCUGACCGAGCAACGCCGCGUGAGUGAAGAAGGUUUGCGGAGCGUAAAACUCUGUUGUGAGAGAAGCGGUAUCUAACCAGAAAGCCACGGCUAACUACGUGCCAGCAGCCGCGGUAAUUC